rnacentral:lncRNA from 1 species
AUUUGUGAGGGGGGCAGCGGGCCCGGCGCCCCCCGUACCUGGCCUCAGGGGAGGCCCCGGGCGCCCCCUCCCACGCCGAGCUCCGCGGCCUGCCCUGCGGUGAGCUGAGGGAUUUCACGGAAUCAGCAAAUAUCCCGCCUUGGAAAGGACCCGUGUUUGUAUUUACAGCUUAACCCGCGGUGAUGUGCUGCUGGUGCUCGCCUUCUGGGGCUUUCAGGUGCGCAGGCAGCUCAAGGGAAACAUUUAAAGGACGCUUACAAAUACUGUCUGCGUCUGAAAGCAAAAUGGAAUAUAAUUCUAGAAAGCAUGGAUGA